rnacentral:misc_RNA from 1 species
AACGCACAUUGCGCCCCCUGGUAUUCCGGGGGGCAUGCCUGUUCGAGCGUCAUUGCAAACCCCUCAAGCACGGCUUGUGUGUUGGGCCAUCGUCCCCCCUGUGGACGGGCCUGAAAUGCAGUGGCAGCACCGAGUUCUGGUGUCUGAGUGUAUGGGAAUCUCUUCUCGCUCAAUAGACCCAGUCGGAUGCUGAUGUCUGAACUAGUUUCACUUCCAGUUUUGACCUCGGAUCAGGUAGGAGUACCCGCUGAACUUAA